CAGGACUGUUGCUAAUCCUGCUUGCGCCUUUCACAUCAUGAAACCGUACAUGAUUUCAGGACAAUUUGCCACAGUUGGAAUCAGGCUCUCAGAAUCUCUCAGCAAGCAUGGCAAGACUGGUAGGAAAAGAAGGCACCAUCUACUUGAAGAUCUCACCUGUGUCUGAGAUGCUGCUGCUGCUGCUGCUGCUGCUGAUGAUGAUGAU